rnacentral:lncRNA from 1 species
GUGGUGACCAACGUGAUUGACAAGUAACCUAAACCUACCGAGCAACCCAAGGUGAGUUCACAACUUAAAAGCAUGCGUCCCGGUGGUUUGGGACACGAGACUAACAACCCUAUCCCCUGGUAACCAGUGACGAAGGAGCUUGCAGCUUGGGAACGUGUAGUGUCUGUUCACCCUUGUGUUGGGUGUUACCUUAUUUUGAAUCAUGAACUUUGUUUUAAACUACCUUACUUAUGCUUCCGCUAUUUAUUACUGUUUUGAACUUAACACUUUAAACUCUGAACUUAAUAUUUGCUAAGCUUAUGAUUAGUAAGUAUUACUU